rnacentral:rRNA from 1 species
AUUGAACGCUGGCGGCAUGCCUUACACAUGCAAGUCGAACGGUAACGCGGGGCAACCUGGCGACGAGUGGCGAACGGGUGAGUAAUGUAUCGGAACGUGCCCAGUUGUGGGGGAUAACUGCUCGAAAGAGCAGCUAAUACCGCAUACGACCUGAGGGUGAAAGCGGGGGAUCGCAAGACCUCGCGCAAUUGGAGCGGCCGAUAUCAGAUUAGGUAGUUGGUGGGGUAAAGGCUCACCAAGCCGACGAUCUGUAGCUGGUCUUAGAGGACGACCAGCGAGACUGGGACUGAGACACGGCCCAGACUCCUGCGGGAGGCAGCAGUGGGGAAUUUUGGACAAUGGACGCAUGUCUGAUCCAGCCAUGCCGCGUGCGGGAAGAAGGCCUUCGGGUUGUAAACCGCUUUUGUCAGGGAAGAAACGCUCUGGGUUAAUACCUCGGGGUAAUGACGGUACCUGAAGAAUAAGCACCGGCUAACUACGUGCCAGCCGCCGCGGUAAAAC